CAGGGUUGUGCCAUUUAUUCUCUUUGCUUAAGGCUAUCAUUUAAAUCACAUAUAUUUUUGGUACGCGGUAGUCUAAUAACUGGGAAAAUGGCUGAAAUGGAUGAUCAUCAUUUUGAGACCGGUGACUCCGGUGCAUCUCAGACAUAUCCGAUGCAAUGCUCAGCUUUACGCAAAAACGGAUUUGUUAUGCUAAAAGGACGGCCGUGCAAGAUAGUUGAGAUGUCUACCUCAAAAACUGGAAAACACGGUCACGCUAAAGUCCAUAUGGUCGGCAUUGAUAUUUUUACAAAUAAGAAAUAUGAAGAUAUCUGCCCCUCAACCCAUAACAUGGAUGUACCACAUGUUAAAAGAGAAGAUUAUCAGUUGACUGAUAUAAGCGAUGAUGGAUUUCUCACUCUGAUGUCUGAUAAUGGAGAAAUUCGUGAAGAUUUGAAAGUACCGGAGGGAGAUCUUGGCAAUUCUUUGAGAUCUGACUUUGAUAAUGGGAAAGAUCUUUUAUGCACAGUUCUCAAAUCAUGUGGUGAAGAAUGUGUUAUCGCUCUCAAAACCAACACUGCUUUGGACAAGUAAACAUCUUUAAUAUGUCUGACUUUAUAUACCUGCAGAUUUCUGUUGAAUUUACGUUAAAAGUAAAUUAUAACUAAUACUAUAGUAGUGUAACUACACUAUUAUGGCUAAGUUCACACAACUCAUUUGACUAUAAUUACUUCAAGAAAUAAUUUAUGAAGUAAGAAAAACAGAAAUUUGAAGCGUAUAGGAUAAAGAUAAGAGAGAUUUGGUUUAAAGGUGUGCUCUAUACAACUUUAUAAAUCAUAUUUACAAAUAAACUGGUUUGCCGAUUGUGAUGUGAUUUGCAUAAAUAAAUAUCAUUUAAUUACCGACUA
rnacentral:misc_RNA from 1 species